rnacentral:rRNA from 1 species
CGUUGCGCGGAAUCACUGGGCUUAAAGCGUGCGCAGGCGGACUCGUAAGUACCUUGUGAAAUCCCACGGCUCAACCGUGGAACUGCUCGGUAUACUGCGGGUCUUGAGGUCGGCAGGGGCCAUCGGAACAGUAGGUGGAGCGGUGAAAUGCGUAGAUAUCUACUGGAACGCCCAAGGCGAAGGCAGAUGGCUGGGCCGAACCUGACGCUCAGGCACGAAAGCGUGGGGAGCGAACGGGAUUAGAUACCCCGGUAGUCCACGCCCUAAACGUUGCGCACUAGAUCGUGGCGGCUCUGACGCCGUCAUGGUCGAAGCAAAAGUAUUAAGUGCGCCGCCUGGGGAGUACGGUCGCAAGGCUAAAACUCAAAGGAAUUGACGGGGGCUCACACAAGCGGUGGAGCAUGUGGCUUAAUUCGAAGCAACGCGAAGAACCUUAUCCAGGGUUUGACAUGCACGGAUGCCCUCGGUGAAAGCCGAGUAAGCUGCCCUUUGGGUGAAACGUGCACAGGUGCUGCAUGGCUGUCGUCAGCUCGUGCUGUGAAGUGUCGGGUUAAGUCCCUUAACGAGCGAAACCCCUAUCGUUAGUUGCUAACAGGUAAUGCUGAGGACUCUAACGAGACUGCCGGUGUCAAACCGGAGGAAGGUGGGGAUGACGUCAAGUCCUCAUGGCCUUUAUGUCCUGGGCUGCACACGUGCUACAAUGCGGCGUACAGAGCGAAGCGAUACCGUAAGGUGGAGCAAAUCGCAAAAAGCGUCGCUCAGUUCGGAUUGUGGUCUGCAACUCGACCACAUGAAGCUGGAAUCGC